rnacentral:rRNA from 1 species
UACGGGGGGGGCAAGCGUUGUUCGGAAUUACUGGGCGUAAAGGGCUCGUAGGCGGCCAACUAAGUCAGACGUGAAAUCCCUCGGCUUAACCGGGGAACUGCAUCUGAUACUGGAUGGCUUGAGAUUGGGAGAGGGAUGCGGAAUUCCAGGUGUAGCGGUGAAAUGCGUAGAUAUCUGGAGGAACACCGGUGGCGAAGGCGGCAUCCUGGACUGGUCCUGACACUCAGGAGCGAAAGCGUGGGGAGCGAUCCGG